rnacentral:tRNA from 1 species
GUCGCGCUCGUCGACGGCCGACUGCGGGGCGGCCAUCGCCUGCUCGGGCAGCGACUCGGCGGGGCGCUCGCCGUUCCACCGGCGACGCCACC